rnacentral:sRNA from 1 species
AAGAACUGAGGAUCGAGCUGCUCUCUCACCACUUCGGAAAAAGAGAGAAACGGGAUCCGCAGAGAUGGUUUGUUGGGAGAGCGGUGGCAGCAGAUGCUUGAAGCAGCCAGACACAUCACAUCCAACAGUCAGAAAACAUCCGUGUGUUCUGGUACUCGGCUGCCUUCCCCUUUCUGCAGUCUGGAAUGGCACUGCCCACAUUUGAGUCUACAGGCAAGGAGACUGAAGCAUGGGAGAGACUUAUCUACGUGGCAACUUUGUGAAGAGGCUGCAGUUGGGCCCAGCCUGUCCAGCCACCCCGCUCAGCCAUAUGGAUACAACUUUCCCUAGACCUGUACACUCAACCAUCCAGAUAUCAGAAGCCAUUUGUACAGUAACUGGCCUGGAUCCUUUUAGAAGAAAAAUGUGAUUUUCUUUUCCACUCUGCAAGCUCCUGCUUCGCCCUCCAUCCAGUCCUUGUUUAUUUCAGUAAAGAAACAGCCUUUGACGUCCUCCAAGAGGAACAGGGCAGCACUACAAACAUCGAGAAGCAUGCCACACGUUGGUUGGAACAUGGAAGUUUUGUAAGGUUUAAUAAGUUCUUGGAACCCAUGGAUGCUGCUGUCCUUUCAAGGUGAAAUUAAAAAAUAAAACACCCUGAAAAUCA